AGUUAAUUAGUUGAAUUUCACAACAUUAAGGUGCAAACUUAAAGAAAUGGUGUUACCCCAUAUUAAUCU
rnacentral:tRNA from 1 species